CAGAACGAACGCUGGCUCCGUGCCUCAGACAUGCAAGUCGAACGCGAAAGUCCCCUUCGGGGGACAAGUAGAGUGGCGCACGGGUGAGUAACACGUAGGUAAUCUACCUUUGGAUUGGGAAUAACCACCGGAAACGGUGGCUAAUACCGAAUAAUGCAGCGGCACCUAAUGGUGACAGUUGUUAAAGCGGGGGAUCGCAAGACCUCGCGUCUGAAGAGGAGCCUGCGGCAGAUUAGCUAGUUGGUAAGGUAACGGCUUACCAAGGCGAUGAUCUGUAGCCGGCCUGAGAGGGCGGUCGGCCACACUGACACUGACAUACGGGUCAGACUCCUACGGGAGGCAGCAGUGGG
rnacentral:rRNA from 1 species